CUAAGAAUCUUCCGCAAUGGGCGAAAGCCUGACGGAGCGACGCCGCGUGAACGAAGAAGGCCGUGAGGUUGUAAAGUUCUUUUCGGGAGGGGGAACAACCGUGGCAGGGAAUGGCCGCGGGAUGACGUGAAUCCCGGAAUAAGCCCCGGCUAACUACGUGCCAGCAGCCGCGGUAACACGUAGGGGGCGAGCGUUGUUCGGAAUCAUUGGGCGUAAAGGGCGUGCAGGCGGUCCUGCAAGUCCGGCGUGAAAGACCCCGGCCCAACCGGGGGGACGCGCUGGAAACUGCGGGGCUUGAGUACAGGAGGGGAUGCCGGAAUUCCAGGUGUAGGGGUGAAAUCUGUAGAUAUCUGGAAGAACACCAAUGGCGAAGGCAGGCAUCUGGCCAUGUACUGACGCUGAGACGCGAAGGUGCGGGGAGCAAACA
rnacentral:rRNA from 1 species